rnacentral:rRNA from 1 species
AACGGAGAGUUUGAUCCUGGCUCAGGAUGAACGCUGGCGGCGUGCCUGACACAUGCAAGUCGAACGAACCGAGGGGCCGUUGAUCGGGUUUUGGAAGGGUUCGUCCCGGAAGAGCCUGUGAGGUUCCUUGGUUAGUGGCGAACGGGUGAGUAACACGUAGGUGACCUGCCCCGAAGAGGGGGAUAACCACUGGAAACGGUGGCUAAUACCCCAUGUGGUCCCGCAUUCGGUUGUGGGAUUAAAGGCUCCGGCGCUUCGGGAGGGGCCUGCGGCCUAUCAGCUAGUUGGUAGGGUAAUGGCCUACCAAGGCUAUGACGGGUAGCUGGUCUGAGAGGACGGUCAGCCACACUGGCACUGAGACACGGGCCAGACUCCUACGGGAGGCAGCAGUGAGGAAUAUUGCGCAAUGGGGGAAACCCUGACGCAGCAACGCCGCGUGGGCGAAGAAGGUCUUCGGAUCGUAAAGCCCUUUUCUCCCGGACGAGGAAGGACGGUACGGGAGGAAUAAGUGUCGGCUAACUACGUGCCAGCAGCCGCGGUAAAACGUAGGACGCAAGCGUUAUCCGGAUUUAUUGGGCGUAAAGGGCGUCUAGGCGGCGUCUUAAGUUGGGCGUGAAAUCUUCCGGCUCAACCGGAAGGGUGCGUUCAAUACUGGGACGCUUGAGGGCAGCAGAGGGAGGUGGAAUUCCCGGUGUAGCGGUGGAAUGCGUAGAUUUCGGGAGGAACACCAGUGGCGAAGGCGGCCUCCUGGGCUGUACCUGACGCUGAAGCGCGAAAGCGUGGGGAGCGAACGGGAUUAGAUACCCCGGUAGUCCACGCCGUAAACGAUGGAUACUAGGUGUUGGUGGUAUUGACCCCACCAGUGCCGCAGCUAACGCAUUAAGUAUCCCGCCUGGGGACUACGGCCGCAAGGCUAAAACUCAAAGGAAUUGACGGGGGCCCGCACAAGCAGCGGAGCGUGUGGUUUAAUUCGAUGCAACACGAAGAACCUUACCAGGGCUUGACAUGCGCGUGGUAGGGAACCGAAAGGGGACCGACCCUUCGGGGAGCGUGCACAGGUGCUGCAUGGCUGUCGUCAGCUCGUGCCGUGAGGUGUUGGGUUAAGUCCCGCAACGAGCGCAACCCUCGUCGCUAGUUGUACUUUUCUAGCGAGACUGCCGAGAAAACUCGGAGGAAGGUGGGGAUGACGUCAAGUCAGCAUGGCCUUUAUGUCCUGGGCUACACACACGCUACAAUGGCCGGUACAACGGGUUGCCAAGCCGCGAGGCGGAGCUAAUCCUAAAAAGCCGGUCUCAGUUGGGAUUGGAGUCUGCAACUCGACUCCAUGAACGUGGAGUUGCUAGUAACCGCAGGUCAGCAAUACUGCGGUGAAUACGUUCCCGGGCCUUGUACACACCGCCCGUCACGUCAUGGGAGUCGGCAACACCUGAAGCCGGCGGGCUAACCUCCUUCGGGAGGAAGCAGCCGUCGAAGGUGGGGCUGGCGACUGGGACGAAGUCGUAACAAGGUAGCUGUACCGGAAGGUGCGGCUGGAUCACCUCCUUU